rnacentral:rRNA from 1 species
CAGUAGCCGCGGUAAUACAGAGGGUGCGAGCGUUAAUCGGAUUUACUGGGCGUAAAGCGUGCGUAGGCGGCUUUUUAAGUCGGAUGUGAAAUCCCUGAGCUUAACUUAGGAAUUGCAUUCGAUACUGGGAAGCUAGAGUAUGGGAGAGGAUGGUAGAAUUCCAGGUGUAGCGGUGAAAUGCGUAGAGAUCUGGAGGAAUACCGAUGGCAAAGGCAGCCAUCUGGCCUAAUACUGACGCUGAGGUACGAAAGCAUGGGGAGCAAACAGGAUUAGAUACCCCGGUAGUCCCUGUCUCUUAUAC